rnacentral:rRNA from 1 species
UACGGGGGGAGCAAGCGUUGUUCGGAUUUACUGGGCGUAAAGGGCGCGUAGGCGGUCAGCACAAGUCAGUUGUGAAAUCUCCGGGCUUAACUCGGAAAGGUCAACUGAUACUGUGCGACUAGAGUGCAGAAGGGGCAACUGGAAUUCUCGGUGUAGCGGUGAAAUGCGUAGAUAUCGAGAGGAACACCUGCGGCGAAGGCGGGUUGCUGGGCUGACACUGACGCCGAGGCGCGAAAGCCAGGGGAGCGAACGGG